GGAGGGGAUAAUGAGGAGGUGGGGUGGGAGAAACCGAGGCGGAGAGCUAGGGCAAGAGGGAGGGUAGGGGAGUAGGCGGACACGGACACCCUAUCCCACACCUUCCUACCCCCCCCUUCCUUCCCCCCGGGGGCCCCUUUCUCCUCCCCCCCCCCCCCAGUAGAAGUGGAUCUUAGCAAGACAGUCGGCUUCCCCAGACGGGGCGCCCCGCCCACUUCUUCACUGCUCCCACUCCUCACCGCCUAGACCCCCACCUUCCACCCCCCAGCCAUUUGGGGGCUUGGUCCUAGGGUCGAGCCCCAGGCUGGGCACCCAGCUCAUUUCCAUCCCGAAGCCCGCUUUUCCCUCUCGGUUCUCCCUCCUCCUAGCCCCGACGUUUCUCUAAACCCUGGAGGAGGAGGAGCAGCAGCAGCAGCAGGAUCCGCACAUUGCUAACCCGCUCUAAGUGGCUCCGAGCAGCCAAACUGGGCAUGCUCCGUAGCUUGGGCAGGUUUGGGUUGCAAGUAGAAAGCUUUGGCUCUUAAGCCGGGAGGAGAGAACAAGGAGAGAGAGGGAGGGAGAGAGGAAAAAGGGAGAAAAAGAGAGGGACACACAGAGAGACAGAGGCAUACACACGCAGAGCGCGAGAGCCCCGAGCGGCCGGAGAGGACCGCCGGUGCCCAGCGCUGCCACCAUCCAUUUGCGAGACGCUGGCACUAAAGAAACCCACCCACCGCCCCUCCGGCUGAUUGCUAUUGUGAAAGUGGAACCCUCGCCUCAUAUGACCUCCUGCUUUUCCCUCCUCCUGCUCAGCAAAUGCUGGGAAAGACAUAACUUUUACAUGAUGAGAAAUCCUGAAAUCAUUUUUUGAAAGAGAAGAAGUUCUCCUCUUCUUGACUGACCAUUGAUCUCACUUUAUCAAGAGCUGCUUUGUAAGUACUGUUUACAUCCCUGAAAUACAUACAUUAUAGACUUGAUAGUUAAAGUAUUGUGUUUUGUCUUGACUAUGUUGAAAUUCUUUUAUCUCUCCAAAUGUCUGUACUCCAAAUAGUACACUCAUAAUAAAUGCUUGUUGAAUCAAUAUAAGUACCA
rnacentral:lncRNA from 1 species